CCUACGGGUGGCAGCAGUGGGGAAUAUUGGACAAUGGGCGAAAGCCUGGUCCAGCCAUGCCGCGUGUGUGAAGAAGGCCUUCGGGUUGUAAAGCACUUUCAGUGGGGAAGAAAGCCUUGGGGCUAAUACCCUCGAGGAAGGACAUCACCCACAGAAGAAGCACCGGCUAACUCCGUGCCAGCAGCCGCGGUAAUACGGAGGGUGCGAGCGUUAAUCGGAAUUACUGGGCGUAAAGCGCGCGUAGGCGGUCUGAUAAGCCGGUUGUGAAAGCCCCGGGCUCAACCUGGGAACGGCAUCCGGAACUGUCAGGCUAGAGUGCAGGAGAGGAAGGUAGAAUUCCCGGUGUAGCGGUGAAAUGCGUAGAGAUCGGGAGGAAUACCAGUGGCGAAGGCGGCCUUCUGGACUGACACUGACGCUGAGGUGCGAAAGCGUGGGUAGCAAACAGGAUUAGAUACCCGGGUAGUC
rnacentral:rRNA from 1 species